rnacentral:lncRNA from 1 species
ACACACAGAACAUGGAUAAUGAAAAGGAUCAACUUGCAGUCGCUGCGCUGAGCAUCUAUAGAUGAAUCACGGAAGCCUUAACUGAUCUUCACAUCCGCUCCCGGCUUCCGCUCCGCUGCUGAGGGCAGCAGUCACACUUCUGCCUGCUUUCUCCCGCAGCAGAGCCAGGGUUUCCCCCUACCCAGCACUGAACCUUGAGGCUCCAGCCUCAAUAGAGAUUCGCCAGCCUCCUCAGGCCUGCGGACAGACCCCUUGCUUCCUUAUCUUUCUCACAGGCCACUUGUACUGUAUCCCCUCCAGACUGUUUCAAAGGCGUGCAAGCCGGAAGUCCACGCAAGACGGAAGUCCCCGCAAGCCGGAAGUCCCCGGGCUGUGUGUAGGACAUCAGUCAGAGCAGGGGAAGCCAUUACGAGGUUAGAAGAGUCCGGGCAGUGGUGGCCCAUACCUUUAAUUCCAGCACUUGGGAGGCAGAGGAGGAGGAUUUCUGAGUUCGAGGACAGCCUGGUCUACAGAGGGAGUUCCAGGACAGCCAGGGCUACACAGAGAAACCCUGUCUCACCCCCCACCCCCCAAAAAAAAGGUUAGAAGAGGAAAGGAGGCAAUGGUGGAGGAGAGGAAAAGAGGAGGGGAGUGGUGGGGUCCAGCAUAGCCUGUAUGAGCCGGAAAGGAGGAGUCUUGUCACCACCAGCAAGCCUGUCUCACAUUCUUGACCUCACUAGCAUCCUCAUCUCGGAACUUGACUUUGUUGCUUCCUCUUCCCAAACUAAAAUUAAUCUCUUGGGUUUUUUGCUUCCCUUGACCACAGAGACAAUGGCUCAUCUGAGUUGUGACCUGUAAUGACCCAGGUCUUAUCCACCCAGAUCAUGACUUCUGGGCAUGCGUGGACAUACUGUCCAGGUGGCACAGCCAGCUCAGCAGCUUCUGAGUGGCCUUCUCUCCCUGAGGAACUACCAGGGUACUCCAGCUGUGGCCAGCUCUCAAUGAGGAGGAAGAAGAAACACAUGCAGAGACAGCCUUAGGGGUGUGGCUCAGAGGUAUAGCACUCACUGGCAGUGUAGGUACUUAAGGUCCCAGGUUCAAGUCUCAGUACCACAGAGGAACAGAGCAAAACAAAAGAACAGCUGCAGAAAGCAAAGGGGAGACACACCUGCUCCAUAAUUGCAGAGGAAGUAACUUCUUUGUCUGAUUUUCUGCCUUGGCCUCCAUUCCUUUUAAACAAGUGGUUGGAUUUUCUCACUUAGACUAAUCCAAAUGUGACUACAGCCUACCUUAAUAACCCAACUGAAGAGUGGUGGUGGCUUGUGACUUUAAUCCCAGCACUUGGGAGGCAAAGACAGUGGAUCUCUGAGUUCGAGGUCAGUCAGAGGGAGUUCCAGAAUAGCCAAAGAAACCCUGUCUCAAAGAGCCAAGGACCUAAAGAGCCAAAAACAAAAAGAAAAGAAAAAGAAAACAGCAUGCCUCCCAGGAUAUCUAUCAAACAUGGCUUAAGACACAAUAAAAAAACUGGACACAAA